GGUGAAACACAAGAAGCAGCAGCUCAGCGCAGUGGGAAUGUCUCGUCACAACAUUUAAAGCUAAAUCAGCGAAACCGCUGAUGAUACAGGAUCUUGAUCUGACUUGGAUCUCUGCGAAUCACUGCAGAAGAGAAACAUAAAAUCACAGCCACGAGAAGUGCUGCUCACCAUCUUUUAAGAAGAGACAUUGAACAUUUUUCUAUUUGAAAGCGGCAUGAGUCAUUUGACAGACUUCGAAAGAGGCCAAAUUGUCGGCGCCCAAGUUGCAGGAUUAUCAGUGAAAAAAACUGCCCAGUUAUGUGACGUAUCAAGUGCAACCGUCAUCAAAGUCAUGCGUGCAUAUGGCAAACAUGCACAAAGUAUGUCUGUAAAGAAGAAUGGUGGGCACAAGCCAAAAAACAAAA